rnacentral:lncRNA from 1 species
GGCAACGCUGGAUCCUUAACCCACUGAGUGAGACCGGGGAUUGAAUCUGAAGCCUCAUGGUUACAUGUUGGAUUCAUUUCUGCUGAGCCUCAACAGGAACUCCCCGGUUCAAUUCCUGAGCAUGAGAUUAAGAUUUCACUUUAGGCCGUCACUCUCACCCUUAUAGCAUUAAUUAAUAAGGAAACUAUAUUAGGUCAAGGACCAUAUUUAUCUGUUUUUAUGUUAUACGCCCAGCAUAUGGUGAACUGUCUAGAACAUAGUAGGCACUUAAAUAACACUACUAUAAAUUCAAAAAGUAAAUACCUAUUCAUCUCAAUAGUAUUCACCUAAAUUUGAAAACAGUAGGACAAGCACAUAUGAAACAAUUAUCUGGUUUAUACACAAUGAUUGUUGGUGUAUGGAUUAAAUUCCUUUAAGUUUUCUACAGUACAUUUUAGACCUCUCUCCCACGGAUCCACAGUCCAUAAAUUGGAACCAACUAUUUUAAAGAAUAUAUCUACAGAAUAGAAUUAUACCUAAAAGUUCCAGAUCUAGAAUCUGACAAACCUCUGCCUCUUCAAAAGCUCUAAUUCCUCAAGAAAGUGCCUUAUUAUGUUAAAGGCUUUGGUUUCCUUGUCUAUAAAAUAGUGACAACAAUUGCAUGUACUAUUACUUUAUGAAUUAAAUGAUAAAUCAGCAAAGUAUCUGACACACGGUAAAGGCUUUUGAAUAUUAGCUAUUAGUAUAAUUAUUUUCACUCCUUAGAGAAUGAGGCUUCUACAACAAAGCUGGUGAGGGACAGAGCUGGAGGGCCCUAAUAAUGUUCAUUUCCAUUUCCUUUGGGAUCGUGAGCUCAGAAGGUCUGGGUAAGCUCUUAAAUCCUCCACUUCCUAACAAAGGCACUGCUCUGUCCAGACAGCUUCCAUUAUUACACAGUUGUAGCAGCAUGCUAGUAGAGUAGCUCCCCACACACCCUCAAAAAUCUUACUUUGUAGAGUUUGUCAGGGUGCAAGUAACCUCACUGCGGCCACUAUCAAGCCAACAAUGUGAAGUCAUAAAGACACAGCUGUGCAAAGGCGAACACAAUCAGCUCUUACAACGCAGUGGACGCCUGCCCCGGCACCCUCCUGAAAUAGUCAUGUGGAUGAUCCUGUCCUCCGAACUUGUAAAUACACAGAGCAUCUGCCGUGCCCCUCUCCGUCAGGAGUCUGGCCAGAAUGCCUGUAGAGCAAUUAGGCCGGCCUACACACUCUCACUACUUCCUCCAAGGUUGCUCAACAAACCCCAUGUUAUAUUUGCACUCGGUACUAGCGGCAUUUGACCGCGAUCCUCUGCACAAUAAAAACUAAAGCCUGAAACAAAGAACGGUGGAGUUUCAAACACUGGAGCCAUUUAGGGGUGGUAAAGAUAAAGCCUCUCAAUCAUAACGAGCAGAUGAACAUCUGCUUUAAUGUUCCCAAGCAUAAGACUUUAUAAUUCAUAAGCUUAUACAGCACUUCCAUAGGAUAAACUGGUUUUCUGCUAUAAAUCAGCUGGGUGUCUUGGUUUCAAUAUUGAAAAUGACCUCUAAUCCGAUCUCUGAGGACACUACCGGUCUGACAUUACUGAAAACUGAUCCAUAUUCAAAGCACUGCCCGUGCCUGUUAAUUUUUACCCCAUAAAGCAAUUUUAUUUUAAACAUAGAAAAAGCAUACGGAGAGCUAUAAAGGCUGAGGCAUAGAAUGAGCCCUUUUGUUGUUCUUAUCACAGAUUAAAUACAUUUGGGAAGAAUGGCCUAUGGAGAAAAAUUAUUAGCUCUUUGUAUAAACUUGAAAUGCAGAGUAGUAAAAUCUGUCAAAUGCAGAAUUUUAUUGUGCAUAAAUCUAUACCUUCACCGAUAUUCAUUAAAUGAGCCUCUCACUGUUAGCAAGACUGUUCUGCCUUGGCACACACAACUUUUAAUUCAUUUAACUCAACAUUUUCCUUUUGCUCCAAGUGAUUGCCUUUGGCUAUGGGCUUAUGUGAAAAGGGCUUAGGGGCAUGUUUCUCCUCUGAUUUAAGUCUAAACUUAUCCCAAGUUCCCUUUCUGCUAGGUUAAAUUUCCUCCCAUCACCCUUUGGGCUCUCCACAUCCCGUGUCCCUACCUUCCCAUUAUGUUAUCAGUUGUCUCUGGGAUAAAGAGGAUGGAGAACUCAGGGAAGAAGGUAAGUUGGUCUGAGCUCUGAUCAGAACACACCCAGUCAGAGCAUCAGAAACCCUUCUGAGGAAAGAUGGUUUGAAACUAGAUGAUCUCAAAUGCAUGGCCAGCUCUUACAUUCUGUCUAUUUCUAUGGCUCAAGCAGAUGUAAUGGAUAUAGAAGGGAUUCUAUACAAUCCACCUCCCAGUAGCAUACAACGGUAUUCUAGGCACAUCAGUAAAGAAAAGGAAUAACGGAACUAGAUUAGGCGUUUAAUGAAUGCUGGGCAUUUUCUAUGGAUGUGUUAUCUCACUCAGUCCUUUUUAGCCCACGCAGGACAGUAUUCCAAUUUUACUGAUGAGGACAUGGAGUCUCAGACAGUCACAUAUUUGUCCAAAUAUUUGCAACUUACAACUGUCAAGCUUGCAAUCUGUGCCUGGUCAGAAACCAAAGUUUAUGUUCUUAACCACACUACACUCAGCUGUCAUUCAGUACCGGACAAAGUUAAGGACCUGUGAUUUACAUUGGCAAAUCAGAUGCUAUUUUCCACAGCUUGAAGAGACUAUAUUGUUAUUUUAAUGACUGUCUGAGAUUGACCCUCAAUAAGCAUCAGUCACAUUUAGUUUCUUCAACGCCUUUCUAGUUUACAUAAUUUUUAAAGUGUACACUCAGGAACUUUCAGCCAUUUUCAAGAAAAAUACCUAGGGGAGUUAAAAACAGACUUGAAGCAUAUUGUAGUGCAACAAUUGGUCCCAAUUUUUAUGCCCUUAGGUUCUAUUUCUUGUAGAUUAAGCAUAUUGCUUUAUGUACCAUCUGAACAAUAGGCUAGAACAAUGCUGAGUGUCUCACAUUUUCUGGGUGGCUGAAUGAUUACAACAUUGGUCCUUCACUUCUAAUGACAUAGUGAAUGUUUGCUGGAUGCAUUCCCACAUUAUUUCAUUGCAUCCUCACUCCAGUAUUGUGGGGCUGUUGCUUUUUCUUACCCAUUUUCAGAUGAGAAAACAAAUACACACUGUCACACACAAACUAAUCAUCUAGCCAAGACUGAGAUCUUCCUUCCCAGUUCCAGAUCCUAUUCUUGUCCCACUCCAUCACUUAUCCCAAAUUCAAAAUAUUCCAACACUUGUAACCUUGUCAGGAGUUUAGUGUCCAUUUAAUAUUGUUCCUAUUCCUUCUUUCAAGCUUCCAUUUGAUGUUUCGGUCUAUAAAAACAGUGAAGCUCAGAUAUGCUAAAAGCGAUCAGGUUCUUCUAUGCUAAACCCCAGUACUAAAUUAGAAUGUUUUUGUUCUCAAAGAAGGUCAUAAAAAGCAGGAACAGAGCUUUCCAGAUUAGAACACAGUGAGCCUAGGGUUGAAUCCUUUUAUAGCCCAACACCUUGCAAUAGAAUGUCUUCCACAGUCAAGCUGUUCUGUCUUUCAUCGGCUGGCUGAACUCCUUGAAGUCGUCAAGAGAAAAGUUACUCCUAGUUCAGAUAAACUAGGGGCAAAAGGACAGUUGCUAAACUACAGACAUCUUGACUGAAGACUUAAUUUUCAAUAGUUCUUUGCAGAUCACAAUAUAUUCUAUUUUCUUUCAUAUAUUAAUCUGAGUAUAAUAAUAUAUAUAAUCUUUAUCAAGUAUUCAAUCUAUGUUAAUCAAUAUACCAAAGAAUUUCCAUAAAAUAACUCAAUUAAUCCUCAUUUUAAAAACCAUGAGGUAAACACUAUAAUUAUUGCCAUUCUAGAGGUAAAGAAACUGAGGCAAGGCAGUACAGCCAAUGAGCCCUAGGGCUAAGAGUAGAAACACUAAGAAACUCAACUUAUUCACUAACUUUCAAUUUCCAAAUCUGAAAUGUGCAAUUAAUAACAUAAUCUCAGGACUACAUGGGUAUUAUGGGAUCUAUAAAAUAAAUCUAUUGUAUCUUCAGAAUCAAGAAGCUUAGAAUAUAAUUUUAGAGAAAAGAUUUUCAUUUGUUUAAGAAAAUAAAAAGAGGACAAAAGAGUUCACUACAAAAUGAAAAGUGAAAUAAAAUGUGAUCCAAAGUCAAAAUGCAUAGAAAAGACAAGGCUCAGAACACUAUUUUACUCCCUUUGAGAUAUAGAGGCUCUGAGUCCUCCGAAAGGAAACAGUUGACCUUUGCUUAAUCUAGAGUUUCCCAAGUAUUUGAUAGACAGGGACAGUGUGAGAGGUUCAGAAUAUGUCUUCUUAACUCAGUCUAGGAUCCCAGCCCCUAAAGAAGAUAGGAGGAACCUGAAAUUAAUUAAAGGUCUGUUCUUUUCAUAGAUCACUGAAGCUCACUGGCUGAACUAAAGAAACUAAAAGGGAAUUGUAAGAAAAUACAGGAAAAUGUGCUUCUGAUAAAGCUUAGGACUGUUCAUUAGACACUGGAUCCACACUAGAAUACUGAGCCAGAGGGCAAAACCUACUCAGAACAACCAGCCUCUGCUCCUCUCCACUCUGAAGCAGCUGCCCACAGCCACGGUUUCAAUCUUGGUGCCAAGAUUAAUUUACACUGAGAAUUUUAAAGCAUCAUAAAGCAUCAGUUUGCUUAUUUAUGAAGUAGAUUCAUGAGUUUGGUUCUAAACCCUCAUGGAUUGUUCUAAGACUUAACUGUGAUUAUAUGUAUGGAUUUAGAAAGCUCUGAUGGAUCAUACUAAUACAAGGGAUAUAAGAACAGCCUAGAAAAUUGAGUAUAUAGACUAAAAAUGUGCUUUUUAACUAACAACUAUUCUUUCAAUUAUUCUCAUAUUAUUUGAUUAGUGAUCAUCUAGUUUCUCCCUUACUUUGGCUAUCCUAUGUCAGCAUCCAAAAUUCCUGUGUAUCCACUGAGACACUUGCUACUCAGAGAUUAUGAGUACAUCCUUGAUUGAUUGGCAAUGCCUGUCUGGACCAAUCUAUUGAGAAUCUGGAAGCCACAUCUGGAUGUGGCAUCAGUUAAUGCUAUAUGACAUGGUCACAGAAAUGAGGUAGUGAAGGAUCACAUGCCAGCUCGAUGCCCCUCUGCCCUGUUUCCAUUCAUUAAGGCUCGUUAUUCGUAUUUUACAUUAUUGCAUAUUUCAGAAUUAAGACCACUUAGGAAGACAUUCACUGUCUUCUGUUGAAUUAAAUCUCUCUUCACUUUCUAACGUAAAUUUUUAACACUCUCCUUAAAGUCUUGUUUUACAAACCACACAGAUUUCUAUCCUCCACCUGCACCCUGCACUCUCCUAACUGUCAGUGCUCGAGUUCUUUUACUAAUAUUAACAACCAACAUUUACUGAGUGGUUAUUGUGUGUCAGGCAUUUUCCUUAGAGCAUUACAGGGACCAUCUCAUUUAAUUCUCACAGAUAUG